GACGUAGGGGGCCAGCGUUGUCCGGAAUCAUUGGGCGUAAAGAGCGUGUAGGCGGCCAUGUAGGUCCGAUGUGAAAACUCGAGGCUCAACCUCGAGCUGUCAUUGGAAACCAUGUGGCUAGAGUCCGGAAGAGGAGAGUGGAAUUCCUGGUGUAGCGGUGAAAUGCGCAGAUAUCAGGAAGAACACCUAUGGCGAAGGCAGCUCUCUGGGACGGUACUGACGCUGAGACGCGAAAGCGUGGGGAGCGAACAGG
rnacentral:rRNA from 1 species